GUGCUCAUGGUGUAGUGGUUAUCACAUCUGUCUAACACACAGAAAGUCCCAGGUUGGAGCCCUGGUGAGCUCA
rnacentral:tRNA from 1 species